rnacentral:rRNA from 1 species
GAUGAACGCUGGCGGUAUGCUUAACACAUGCAAGUCGAACGGACUCUUCGGAGUUAGUGGCGGACGGGUGAGUAACGCGUGAGAAUCUGGCUUUGGGUUCGGGACAACCACUGGAAACGGUGGCUAAUACCGGAUGUGCCGAGAGGUAAAAGAGAAAUUGCCUGAAGAUGAGCUCGCGUCUGAUUAGCUAGUUGGUGAGGUAAAGGCUCACCAAGGCAGCGAUCAGUAGCUGGUCUGAGAGGAUGACCAGCCACACUGGGACUGAGACACGGCCCAGACUCCUACGGGAGGCAGCAGUGGGGAAUUUUCCGGAAUGGGCGAAAGGCUGACGGAGCAAUACCGCGUGAGGGAAGAAGGCUCUUGGGUUGUAAACCUCUUUUCUUAGGGAAGAACAAAAUGACGGUACCUAAGGAAUCAGCAUCGGCUAACUCCGUG